CAACAGUUUCAUUUUCACUGUGUAGACACGAGGCGGCACAGAGUGGGAAGGGCCGGCUGCCAGGCCCCGGCAGAGACGUGUGAGCAGCGAUUUGAAUGCUGGAUGGUGUUCGUGCUAACGUGCAGGGCAUCUUUUGACUAUGGAGAUAAUCAGCCAGUGCCUCUGACCAAGCCAUGUUUUAAUCCAAGAGUAACUACCCUUGGAGAAUAUCGCCUGUUUCCGGGAGUAAGAAGAAAAUGGUCUGCACCAUGGCAACAUGUAUUACUACUGGCUGCCCAGUGGAGCAAAAGUUAUCCACUGAUCCAACUACUGCACCUGUAGUCAGAGAGGAAUCUGUUUCUGGUCUUCAACUAAC
rnacentral:lncRNA from 1 species